rnacentral:misc_RNA from 1 species
GGAAGGAUCAUUACCGAUUUAGCGAACCUGGUCGCUUUUGACCAAGGUCUCGUGAAACUUGUAUUUAAAACCCACACUUUUUAAAUAAAAAAAAUUAUCGUAUCAAUUAUGAUAAAAAAAAGAUCACUUUCAACAACGGAUCUCUUGGCUCUCGCAUCGAUGAAGAACGUAGCGAAGUGCGAUAAGUAAUGUGAAUUGCAGAAUUCCGUGAGUCAUCGAAUCUUUGAACGCAAAUUGCACUUCCUGGCAUUCCGGGAAGUAUGCCUGUUUGAGGGUCAGUUUAAAUAAAUAUCGUGGUGUUGCUUUUUGUGACGCUUCGGAAUUGGGUUAUCUUGAUCCUCUGGGGUUAAGCGACCUAAAAUUGAUGUAUCUCUGUGCAUCUCGGACGUACAUAAGAAUUUUUUUUUUCCUAUCCGUUAGGGUUGCCAGAUCCUUAUUAGGUAUGAUUCACGUUGCUUGUGAAAUCUGUACCUAUAACAUAACUCAUAUUUUGACCUCAAAUCAGGUAGGAAUACCCGCUGAACUUAAGCAUAUCAAUAAGCGGAGGAAAAGAAAAUAACAAUGAUUCCCCUAGUAACUGCGAGUGAAGAGGGACAAGCUCAAAUUUUAAAUCUGUUAGGUUUUUGCCUGACCGAGUUGUAAUUUGAAGAGGUGUUUUCCGCGUUUUUGGUCAGUCCAAGUCCUUUGGAAUGAGGCAUCAUGGAGGGUGAGAAUCCCGUUCGGCUGACCAGAUUCGUUUUACGAUACACUUUCAAAGAGUCAAGUUGUUUGGGAUUGCAGCUUAAAAUGGGAGGUAAAUUUCUCCUAAGGCUAAAUAUUGGCGAGAGACCGAUAGCGAACAAGUACCGUGAGGGAAAGAUGAAAAGUACUUUGAAAAGAGAGUUAAAUAGUACGUGAAAUUGUUGAAAGGGAA